rnacentral:lncRNA from 1 species
GUUAUGAUGCAGCAAGAAGGCCCUUGCCAGAUGUGGCUCCUGGAUUGUGGACUUUUCAGCCCCCAGAACUGUGAGCCAAACAAACUUCUUUUGUUCAUAACUUCCCCAGUCUGUGAUAUCCUGUUACAGCAGCAGAAAAUGGACUAAGACACCCAGGGAUGUACCUGGAACCUGGAAAAAGGGGCAGAUCUGCAUCACGGGCUUGCAUGUCCAAUUUCACCUUGGCACUUGCUUCUCCGAGGGUCUGGACAUGGGGCUUCGUUUGAGUCUGGAAGCAGUGGAGAGGGGCCAGAAGCUCCAGGCCUUGGCUUGGAGAUCUCUACAGGUGUGCAUGGAGAUGUUUGAAGUGCUAAUGGCUGAGACAGAGCAAGUGGCAGAGGCCUAGGAGACGGAGGCUGAAAGAGUCUGAGGAGGAAAGGAGGCACUGAGGGACUCACAUGAAGCUACUCUGUCAGCAUUCUAAAACUUCUGACAUUCUUUUCUAUGAAGAUAAUUGAAUCACCAAAUUUGAUGAAAUGUUCCCCAAAUAUCAGGUGAAAAAAACUCAUCUAAACCUUUGGACUUGGAAUUGCCCACAUAGACCACAUCAGCAAUGGAAGACAGAGCAAAUAACAUGUCGGUUCAAUGUAUGAAGGAGCUUUUCUUUCCCCUGCCCCAACCCUCAGACAGGCAUCUAUGCAUACGGAGCAAAAAAUGAUGUAUAUAAUAAUAAGUUUGAGGCACUGAAAGAUCUUGAAUGAGCUUCUGAAUCAUCAGUUACUGUAUCUUUGGGGGUGAGUGAAUUUUAUUACAAAGAAACUUUUUUUUUUUUUUAAAUUUGGUAAUCCUUAAGUAACAAUGUGCAAAUUUCUUUCAAGAAGUGCUGUUGAAUGCUAGGGAUGAGUAGUGUGAUGACUACUCCAAAUUAAGACAAUAAGGCCAGUUUGACAAUCAGCAAUGUGCUAUGCAGCUGAACUGGAGGCACAGUGGUGCUGGUGAAUUGGGCCAGCUCUGGAGAAUUUGAACAUAUAGACAGAGGGCAUGAUGUCUGACUUCUCCAGGCACUAUUGCAUCCCAGUCCGACUUUCCUAGGAUCACUUCAAGUUUGAUCAUAACCCCAAAUCCCUCAGCACCUUCAUUAUCACUCAUAAGCCACAGGGCGCUUGCUGGCAGCCCUUGUUUCUGAUCUGUUUCUCCACCACUGUUACUUGUAUUAUGGCACAUGACUCUGUUCCCAACACCCUCAGGCCUUGGGAAGGGGAUAGGCUGAAAUAAGUAGAUAUUGCUGUUGAAAGAAACAAUUUCAAUGAGGUCUCCCCCCACGCAUCCUUGCUGAGGUCGUGGCGAGACAUAGAUGGAGGGUAGGCAAAAGCAGGAAGAUGACAGCAGAGCAGUAAGGGCUCAGCAAACGAGAGACUAGGGCAGGUGUGUGAAGAAGGGAGAAUGGAAGAGGAAUUGGAUGCAUGAAGGCAGAGAAAGUAGGUGGUGGGCAGAAAUAAUGGGAAAAUGUGAAUCUUCAGAAGUCAAAAUUUAAUGAUGUUUGCUUAACAUUUGCAUAUAUGAUACUACUCCCCAAGUAUGUGAACUAGACAGUUUACAUAUAAGGCAGGAAAAUAGGGUCUGGAGGCAGGGAACAUAAGGCCAAUUCACACUUCAGCUAUGACAGAAAAUAUCUUCUCCAUAGGGCAUAGUUGCUAGGGCCACUCAGAGAGAGAGAAUCCUGAAACCUAGCAUACCAGCUAAAGGGUAAGAAUUUCUUACUAGCCAGUCUCUGGCCUCUUUCUCUCUGUGCAAACUGGCUAAUCUCCAUUGUAAAGUUUUAAAUUAAUUGGUUUAAUAAUAAUAAGAGCUUAAAUCAAAUAUUUCAUCAGGAAAGUAGAAAGCGUAAUGCCUUUUAGUUCACGUGACUUUAGCAAUUUUUGGGAAAUAAAGAGGGUUUUAAAGAUUAUUGGUAAAAUACAAUGUCUUUAAAAUGGAAACAUGUGGUCUAAAUUAUGUUCCAAUAUUAGGUUUGCUGAAUGCUUUAAGGUCAUAAACUGCUUAUUUGGCUUUUGAAAAUUGUUUAACUUGCCUGCUUUCCAGCUAGGUAAGGCCUGGGAACAUGUGGAGUUGGCCAUGCCCCUAGCUAUGCUGCAAACAGUCAAACCUUUUCAGAACAUAACUUACCAGGUUUUACAUUAAAGUUAAAAUUGCUAAGAGUCACCAUUGUAACAUGCAAUUAAGACUACUAGAAACGGUUUUACAUGCACGGUGUGUAAGAAUAGUAGAAUGUAUGUCUCUGUGUGUGUUUUGUAAAAGGUUUUUACUUCUUUAAAAUUUCUGAGUCAUUAUUUUGGCAAAAUAAAUAAUCUGGAAUUCCAAAAUCAAACUUCAGUUUCAAAAUUGUCUUUCCUAAUGCCUGGCUUUCUGGAUGGAUCAGAGGGCCCCUGAAAACAUCCAGAAAGGAGGUAAACAGGAUUAUUUGAUGUGUUUAGGUACAUGGGAUUGCCAAAAUGAUGUUCCGUGUUCUUUAAGUUUUUUUUGUGAAUAAUACUAAUAUAUGUUCCAAAAUUGUAUGGGAUUCCUAAAAUAGUACAUGCUAUCAAUUAUAAUUAUGGGUAUUAUGUUAAGUUAUUGUAAACCACACAAAUAACCAAAUUUCCUUGUAUAAAGCUACUAACCCAAGUAGAACAAAAAUUAAUUAAAUACCAAUAAAAUACUUUGUCAGACUUUCAUGUUAAACCAGCUGAUACUGAAAUUUUUAAGAUAGUUUAUAACCAAUGCUUGGUCCCAUAUUCCUGGGAAGACAAUUAAAGCUUCAUGUACAUUUGGUCACCUUGUGGGCCAUUUAAACAUUUUAUAAAGGGAUUUCAUUCAAUUGUUAUUUCCAAUGCAUGCUUUCUGGUUGUAUAAAAGCUUUCCCACGUGAGAGGGCUGAUGUUAUCACAGUAGAUUAUUAUGCUACAGUGUAUUUGCACCAGGUAAAAAAGCUUUUUAUGGUUUGAAUCUUCUGAGAACACCAGAGAAAGACUCUCCUUACCAUCCUCACUGCAACUAAACUUCGGGACCCUGGGCUUUGGGUUCAUGGUCUCGCCACUGAAAAGGUUCCCUCCACACUUUUGGAAUUGUGCACCCAUUGGAACCCUUGAGGUAAAGCUAACCAGAGAAAUUUCUCCCAAGAAGAAGAAGAUGGCAUCCUUGAAGUGAACAGCUUUUCCCAAGUUCACAGAGUAAGACUUCUACUAUCAUGAAACUCUUAUCUUUGAAUAUUUUUUCUUGCUUAUAUCUCUACUAACAAUAGAAGUGGAAAAAGGGUCUGUUAUGUGCACUUAUGGGGUAUACUUUUAUUUGUGAAGAAGUUUGCAGCCAGCCUUAUACAUGGAUAACCUUCUACUUUGAUAGAGAUGAAGGCCCAAUGCAGGUAAGAAACUUUAGUGGUACAUAUGUUGCCCCAUAAUCACUCAAAAACAAAAUAUUGGUUCAUCCCUCUUAACCCACAUCAUGGGUUAAAGAGAACAUUGCCAGGGGGUCUUCACUCUCCUAGAAGGGCAUCAUUUGUUAAGUCCUUUUUCCAUGGCUUAAAGUAAAGGAAGCAAUGAUUAGAAAUGUAUCCCUCAUGAUAGGCUCUAUAGCAAAUCUACUUUAAAGGCUAUCGUUACACAACAGAUUUUAAAUUCUCUUUGAAAGUUAUGCUAAAUAGAAUUGGCUAAACAAAGAAGUUCUUCUGCAGCUGCUGACACUUGCGGCCUAUGGAGAAACAGGUCAAAUGCAGAUUAUAAAAAUUCAGUGUAGGGGAUUAAUGAAAAGACCACUUAGUCAAGUGAGUAGACUCUUCAUCUAGCUCAUUCUUUAAACUAUUUAAGUGUAGGUGGUUUGGUUUCUAGGGACCCUGGUUAAGGAGCAUACUCUGAACUCUGGGUAUUUUCCUUCCAGUAGUGAUAAUAGUAGUCUCCUUGGUGCACUGUAUUCUCUCAAAGGUUUUAAAUGCUUGCAUGCAGCCAUCUCUAGAACAUCAAAUGGUCUCUCUUCGACUGGAAUGACAACAGCUGAAAGAAAUGUUCAACCAUGAGGACACCAUACCUAUAAAUGAUGUGCUGAGACUGGAAACCCAAAAUAGACCAUCAAGCUUCAGAUGAUGAUGCAACAAAGGUUUCAGCCAGUUCCAGGUGAAGACACCACCCUUGGACAUCAAGAAGCUACCCUGCCUCCACUAGAUAGAGCAGGGAGAGUUCUGUGAUCCCCAAUAGGGCCUUUGUAGACGCUAUCCCUUUGUGGAGAAGACUCUCAACACCCUUCAAAUACUAUGAUCUCAUCAGGAAGGCCCUCCCUGACCACCUAUGCCUGUUUAUUACAAUAGCAGCAGCAGCAGCAGCUUUCCAUUGAGGAGAAGGGUGGCUGGAUUCAGACUGGAGCAGGAAAGUAGGUCCCAGUGGGGAUUUUGAGCUGUGCAGGGGAUGCUCAGCUGGGAGCAACUGCAGUUACAAGGGCAGUGGCCGAGAGGUAAGACCCCUGUCCUCUGCAAAUACGUAAGCACAAUAUAUGUGAUCCUUCCUCUGCCAGUUUCCCCGCUGAUCAUCAGCAUCACCUGAAGUCCUUGUUAAAAAUAUCCAGAAAUACUCUGGCUCCACUCCUGAAGGUCUGGGGUGUGGCGUGGGAUCCUCUAUAUUGUCGAAGCACCCAGAUCGUUCUUCUCAUCUGGGAAAUGUGGGACUCACUGUCGCAGAAGGAGGUGAUCCUUGCAGGGCUGGGGAGAGGCUGACAUUUGGGUCACACAUUACUGACCCUGCUUCAGACAGAACGUACAGAAAAGGAG